rnacentral:lncRNA from 1 species
AGGUGAAAACAUCUGGUGGGUUAAUUCUAUGGAAUAUAGUUGUUGAUAAAUUGCACGAACUUAGCUCCAUUCUCUCUUCCAGCUGAUUUGCCUAGAGCCUGGGAGUGUCACUGACGUGCCAUUUCCUGCCCUGACAGCAUCUCCGCUUCCGUCCUGAAACCUUUAUCAAGAAACAACUGUGCAGCCCACGAAUCCAUUCAGUCAAGAUGUAUUGAGUUUCUGCUAUGUGUACUGACUGCGGGGAAAACAGGAUUCUUGUCCUCGAGGAACUAGCUGGGGACUCGGGACAGAGUCAAACACAUGCAACAUGAGGCCUGAAAAAUGUAUUGGAGACGUAGGAGAUGAUGAAAUCACAUCUAGGAUUAACAUCCUAGAAGGAGCCUCGGAGAGCUGUGAAUACCCUAAUAAUAAAUUAUU